CUUCCUGAUGCCAGUUUAUGUUAUCUUAAGCAUGCAAAUCGUCAGAGGAGCGACACUGAAAAGCUGUCAUAAAGAAGCGGAGAGGACAAGACAGUAUAAAGAUGGUCAUCUUUGUGUCUGAGCGACACCACAUCCUCUUCUUCUCAACAGACUGACUGCUGCUGGACAAUCAAAGCUAAAAAAAUGAGCAGAA